GCUGGUUUGGGUCCCCUCCCCUGGCACCGUGGGGCUGUGCUGGCAGGGAGGCAGCCGUGCUGCUGGGUGGAGAUUGCGCCACUGAGCACACGGGCUGGGCUUUGCCUGCACUCCCGGAAGCCACAACCACAGCUGCUCCAGCGCUGGGGCGAAAAGCAGCCGCAUCCUGCCAUUCCUGCUGGAAACAGAAGGCACACGUCUAUCCAAACAGUCUCCCUCUGCGGAUGCAUCAAAACCACAAAUUAUGAAGCCGUCUGAAACCAGGUCAGCACCGACAACCAAAGCAGGAUCUGAAAAAAACACCCAGGCAGCCAAGGUAAGUACUUAACUUUCACUUUUGCAGAUUUGCUGUACUUUGGUCUUUUACUAACUUAGAGGCAAAACUCUUUG
rnacentral:lncRNA from 1 species